GUGAGGAAUAUUGGGCAAUGGGCGCAAGCCUGACCCAGCCAUGCCGCGUGAAGGAUGACGGCCCUAUGGGUUGUAAACUUCUUUUGUACGGGAAAAAACCACCGGUCGUGACCGGUGCUGAUGGUACCGUAAGAAUAAGCAUCGGCUAACUCCGUGCCAGCAGCCGCGGUAAUACGGAGGAUGCAAGCGUUAUCCGGAUUCAUUGGGUUUAAAGGGUGCGCAGGCGGAAUAAUAAGUCAGUGGUGAAAUCCUACGGCUCAACUGUAGAACUGCCAUUGAUACUGUUAUUCUUGAGUACACUUGAAGUGGGCGGAAUGUGUCAUGUAGCGGUGAAAUGCUUAGAUAUGACACAGAACACCGAUCGCGAAGGCAGCUCACUAAAUUGUAACUGACGCUCAUGCACGAAAGCGUGGGGAUCAAACAGGAUUAGAAACCCGGGUAGUCC
rnacentral:rRNA from 1 species